rnacentral:rRNA from 1 species
AACUUAAAUGAAUUGACGGGAAACGCACAACCGGCGUCCCAUGUGGUUUAAAUUCGAAACGAAACGAAGAACCUUACCUAGGUUUGACAUCCCGAUCGUACGUCUUGGAAACAAGAUGGUCAGUUCGGCUGGAUCGGUGACAGCUGCUGCAUGGUUGUCGUCAGCUCGUGUCGUGAGGCGUCCUUUUAAGUAAGGUAACGAGCGCAACCCUGUCGUAUGUUAAAUGUUCAUGCGAGACUGCCUUGGUGCAACCAAGGAGGAAGGAGGGGACGACGUCAAAUCAGCAUGGCGCUUACAUCUAGGGCUACACACAUGGGGUAAUGGCGAAUACAACGGGUCGCGAGGGAGUAAUCCGGAGCUAAUCCUUUAAAAUUCGCCUCAGUUCGGAUUGUGGGCCGCAAUUCGCCCACAUGAAGGGGAGUCGGUAGUAAUCGCAGGUCAGCUAUACUGCGGUGAAUACGUUCUCGUUUCUU